CCUACGGGAGGCAGCAGUGGGGAAUAUUGCACAAUGGGGGAAACCCUGAUGCAGCGACGCCGCGUGAGUGAAGAAGUACUUCGGUAUGUAAAGCUCUAUCAGCAGGGAAGAAAAUGACGGUACCUGAGUAAGAAGCCCCGGCUAACUACGUGCCAGCAGCCGCGGUAAUACGUAGGGGGCAAGCGUUAUCCGGAUUUACUGGGUGUAAAGGGAGCGUAGACGGCAGCACAAGUCUGGAGUGAAAUGCCGGGGCUUAACCCCGGAACUGCUUUUGACACUGUGCAGCUAGAGUGCAGGAGAGGUAAGUGGAAUGCGUGGUGUAGCGGUGAAAUGCGUAGAUAUUAGGAGGAACACCAGUGGCGAAGGCGGCUUACUGGACUGUAACUGACGUUGAGGCUCGAAAGCGUGGGGAGCAAACAGGAUUAGAUACCCUUGUAGUC
rnacentral:rRNA from 1 species